rnacentral:rRNA from 1 species
CAGCGCCGCGGGAAUACGUAGGGUGCAAGCGUUAAUCGGAAUUACUGGGCGUAAAGCGUGCGCAGGCGGUUAUAUAAGACAGAUGUGAAAUCCCCGGGCUCAACCUGGGAACUGCAUUUGUGACUGUAUAGCUAGAGUACGGCAGAGGGGGAUGGAAUUCCGCGUGUAGCAGUGAAAUGCGUAGAUAUGCGGAGGAACACCGAUGGCGAAGGCAAUCCCCUGGGCCUGUACUGACGCUCAUGCACGAAAGCGUGGGGAGCAAACAGGAUUAGAUACCCCUGUAGUCCCUGUCUCUUAUACA